rnacentral:ncRNA from 2 species
GAAGAUGUAGGCGAUGGAGCUCGCCUCAACCGCGCCAGCCGAGGUCCUGUGACGAUGCGGGCCUUUACAGCGGUUCGCGCUGAUAGCUCCUACCGAUCC